UACAGAGGAGCCAAGCGUUGUCCGGAUUUACUGGGCGUAAAGGGCUCGUAGGCGGCCAACUAAGUCAGACGUGAAAUCCCUCGGCUUAACCGGGGAACUGCGUCUGAUACUGGAUGGCUUGAGUUUGGGAGAGGGAUGCGGAAUUCCAGGUGUAGCGGUGAAAUGCGUAGAUAUCUGGAGGAACACCGGUGGCGAAGGCGGCAUCCUGGACCAACACUGACGCUGAGUGAGCGAAAGCCAGGGGAGCAAACGGG
rnacentral:rRNA from 1 species